CCUGGUAUACCAGCACCCUGGGGAAGAUAGAGAAAGUGAUGUCUGCAGAGCAAUAGAAUGUUCAAGAUGCAGCAAUUACAAACACCUCCCAUUGAAGCUGAGCUUCUGAAAACUGGCUGUUGGAUCUCUGAUGUUGAAGACUCUCCAUGAAUGCUUUCUGUUUGCCUUGAUGGAAUUGUUCCUGAACUGCUCUCCAGGAGAGUCCACAUGAAAUGGGCUGGUAUUUCAGCAUCUUGGCCUUUACCUGUGUUAUCACUCUACAGAAUGAAAAAAGGACAUGUGGGGACGUUUGCACUUUUCA